rnacentral:lncRNA from 1 species
GCAGGAACUUUCUUUUUUUUUUUUUUUUUUUUUUUGAGAGGGCGUGAGGAGACACAAUCUCUGCUAGUGAUCCUCCUGCCAAGACCUCCAAAACUGCAGGGAUUGUAGGUGUGAGCACUGCACCCAGCCGUAUGUUUUUUUUCUACAUAAAAAACAGCACAGGAUUAUCUUCCAGAGCUAAUAAAUAUGUUCAAAUAACCACAACCCCAUUAAGGAAAAAUAUCACUGGGCAGCAAAUAAUCAAUCCAGACCAAUAUGAUCACAGUUGCUGUGAAGGUGAGAAAAGUUCAUUUUUAUUAUGUUUCCACAAGAGACGCACUCUAUU